GGAGAGGUGUCAGAGUGGUUUAAUGUAUUGGUCUUGAAAACCAAUGUAGCGCAAGUUACCGUGGUUCAAAUCCCACCUUCUCCG
rnacentral:tRNA from 1 species